rnacentral:rRNA from 1 species
AUGGGCAGUUCACGGGUGGAAGGCCUCAUCCCCUUCAUCUACAAGGCCAUCAAGGAGCACCGCCGGAGCAGCAGCCGGGCCGCCUACCGGGGCGCGGAGGCGGAGGACGACGUGGACCUCGGCGACACGGACCAGAGGCGGCGCUGGCUGGAGCAGGAGCUGCGGUCACCGCUCAACGCCGCCGCCGCCCCGGCGUCGACACAGGCGCACGGGCGGAACCGGUCGCUGGAGGAGCUGGCCGGCCAGGUGGGGCUCUCGCCGGGCCGGCGGCUGCCGCUGCCCAAGGCCAGGAGCGUCCGCGCCUUCGCCUGCAUCGGCGCCGGCGCCGCGUGA